UCGUUUACGAGCAGCUGACAUAGAUUUUGGAUCUUCACAAGGUUGAUUUAUUAUAGGUGACAGCAUUCACCCAGCUGAAUUUUUCGCCGUAGAUAUGGCUUACGUCAAAAUGAUAUGCUUUGUUUGUAUUGGUAUGUUUACAUUCAUACAUAUGUUUACAUUUAUGCUUACUGAGCUAUUGGUGCAAAUGGAACAUUUAUUCACGUUUGCCAAUUUAUUGACUCGCAGUUGUCCUUUAAUUUAAUUCAUUUAAAAUUUUAGAACAUUUUAUUGUGGCUGAAUCAUUGCUAGACCGUGGUGAAUCAUACAAAGCACUGGUUCGACUCGCUGCUUAUCGAAAAGACGUACAAAGGUCCACAAGAAUUGGCAAUAAUUUUAUCUGGUUGUGGUUUAUAUACUGCUGCAAUGAAGCUGCUUUCUGGCUUCGGAUUAUCACCUCUUCCCAUAUGGGUACGCCGCAUUACCAAGGAAAGCGCCAAUGAAGCAUGAGCGUAGUCACAAGAAAAUGAAAUGUCUGAUUUGCCUCAUCGCAAUAAAGGAACUAAUAUGGCCCGGUUACUGUUACAAAAACUCAUUUAUGAUUAUGAGUUAGAAAAGUCUACUAGCUUACGUAAAUAUAUGGCAAACAAGCUGCUAAGUCUCAACGCUUUUAUACCGCAAUGACUAUAUGAUGACUAAAAGGGAUGAAAUUUGCUAUAAAAACGUUUGACGUAAUUUAUUAAAAACAUGCAUACCAACAUUUGGCGAAUUGUCCAGAGCUAUUGUAUUUGUUCGUGACACAUAAUCCCUUAAUUGAAGCUGCCGAAUUACGACAUGCACUGUUGGAAGCUAGAAACGAAUACUCAGUUUCAGAUAUGUGAUACAAAUACAAUUGAGCUCAAUAUUACAUACAUUACUUUCUGUACGCAGUGAGACUUUAAUUUUGCCAUUGUUUCGAAGUUUGUUUGCGUUAUGUUUCUCUAUUUUAAACUUUUUCGCGUCCAAGCUUCACUCUCUACUUUCAAUUUCACCUUAUGCAUGCCCGUGGCAAAUUCUGAAAUAUGACUUACAAUUCACACAUAAUAAAUCAACCUUGCACAUAAGAUAGAUUCGAAAUCUUCAAUGAACUGUGGGAAAUGUGGCGACUUUUUAUUUUGUGACUAUUUCCAGCGUACGUUUCACAAGCAAAUCACAUUGAAAAUGAACAGCUGAUUUUGACGUAAUGCUUGGACCAAACGCAACAGCAAAUACAUGUAGGGUUUUACUUAUACCUAUGUGGUUGCUGUCACCUAUAAUAAAUUCGCCUUGGAUCUUCAUCAUCACCCAGACAUCUAUGCGCACAAUGUGGAGAGUAUUCAGCAGGUUUUUUGAUCGUACAUUACAGAACCGGGCUGGCAUUUAAAUACGUCGGAAGCACUUCCACCUUGUGCGAUCAGCCAAAUCAAUCUAAAAAUAUGCAAU